rnacentral:rRNA from 1 species
UGUGUAGGUGGCGCGCUAAGUCGGGUGUGAAAUUUCGGAGCUUAACUCCGAAACUGCAUUCGAUACUGGCGUGCUUGAGGACUGGAGAGGAGACUGGAAUUUACGGUGUAGCAGUGAAAUGCGUAGAUAUCGUAAGGAAGACCAGUGGCGAAGGCGGGUCUCUGGACAGUUCCUGACACUGAGACACGAAGGCGGGGGAGCAAACG